UACGGGGGGGGCAAGCGUUGUUCGGAAUUACUGGGCGUAAAGGGCUCGUAGGCGGCCAACUAAGUCGGAUGUGAAAUCCCCAGGCUCAACUUGGGAACUGCAUCCGAUACUGGAUGGCUUGAAUUCGGGAGAGGGAUGCAGAAUUCCAGGUGUAGCGGUGAAAUGCGUAGAUAUCUGGAGGAAUACCGGUGGCGAAGGCGGCAUCCUGGACCGACAUUGACGCUGGGGAGCGAAAGCUAGGGGAGCAAACGGG
rnacentral:rRNA from 1 species